rnacentral:lncRNA from 1 species
AUGUUUCCCUACAUCCCCCAUCACCCUCUCCCAGAAGGAUCUGCAGGAUGCUCUGGCCUGGGUGUAACAGCAGCACCCUCUGUUUAUAAUGGGUUACAAUCAACUGAAUGUCUUAACCUUCUGUGCGUAUGUGUUCGUGUGUGUGUGUUUGUGUGUCUGUUUUGUAAAAGUCAAUCAACGACUGAGGAAGGAGAACAGGAAGUCUGCAUCAGAGGACCGAAGGACUCAGCUUCUGUGGUCAGUAAACACUCCUACGACGCACGUACAGACACACACACACACACACACACACACACACACACACACACACACACACACACACACACACACACACACACACACACACACACACACACACACACACACACACACACACACACACACACACACUGUGGUAACAACAACCACAUAAACAUCAUAUGUACAUUUUUAAUACAAACACACGCACAAACAACACACACAUACACACACACACACAAAUGUGUGUCAUUAUCAUUUUGGAUAAUAUUCUUUAUAUGUGUUCCUAAAGAUGAGUUCAUAUUUAUUCUUCUCUCUGCUCUCCAGGUGAGUUCAGGGAAAGAAGUCUACAUCCAAGGGACUGGAGGAAGUGACAUCACCGAAGACAUGUCACAACAGAUCUUCCACGAGGGUGGCCAAGAUGGCCGAUCAGUCCUGGGGAUGGUGGCGGUGCAGGUGGAGGUGGACCCCCGGACGGGCGCCACCGUGGUCCGCUCCGUGGCGCCCAUGUCGGCGCCGGUGGGCGCCAUGGCGACCACGGUGUUCGACGACGGCCGCAAGAGCGUGCACGCCAUCGGCGGGGGCGGCGCCCAGCCCUCGGCGGAGGAGCUGGGCCGCAUCCUGAGCGCCAUCGACGGCGUGGGGAUGACGGUGCUGCUGGACGACGUCGCCGUGACGACGAGCGCGAGCGCGGCGUCGGACGCCAGCGCCGGAGAACGUUCCCGGGGGUCCCCGGCGGCCGCGGGGUCCGUGGACGCAUCGCCGCGCGUCGUCGAGGUGAGGGGCGGAUCGGGGGGCGGGGCCCAGGUCGGGGAGACGGGAGCGGAGGAGGGAGGGGGCGUGGCCGUCACCCGCGGCCAGGUGGAGUCUGCCAUGACGGUGAGGGAGGCGGCCGGUCAGCCAAUCGUCACGGAGGAGGCGCCGGGGGCGGGGCCGGACUACGAGACCCCGGUGGUCCUGACCUUUCUGGGCUACGCCGACUCCGACCAGCGGGAGGGGCCGGAGGGCGUGGCCCUGGGCCGAGACGACCGGGGGGGCGUGCUCACCGUGGAGCGAGUGGUCAUCGACGCCGGGGACGAAGACGGCGACGAAGAGGAGAAGGAGGAGGUGCCCUCGGAGCCGGCCACACCCAAGGAGGGGAGCAAGGAGACAGAGGAGUCCUCCAAACCCAAGGCCUGUCAAUGCUGCUCUGUCAUGUAGCAGGGAGGGGGAGGAGAGAAGGAGAGGGAGAAAUAAAGAAAGGAAACGAGAAAGUACCGCAAACCACUUCUGCCUCCUGUUGGACAAAACUGAGAACUACAACGAGGGAGAGGGAGAGGGAGAGGGGGAGAGAGGGAGAAAGGGAGAGAGGAAGAGAGGGAGAGAUUGAGAGAGAGAGAGAGAGAGAGAGAGAGAGAGAGAGAGAGAGAGAGAGAGAGAGAGAGAGAGAGAGAGAGAGAGAGAGAGAGAGAGAGAGAGAGAGAGAGAGAGAGAGAGAGAGAGAGAGAGAGAGAAUUUGCCACAGAUCAUAGCAUGUUAUAUGCUGUUUUAUUUAACCUGAUUAAUCUAAGAAAUAACAAACAAACAUUGCCAUGGCUGCCUCUUACAUUAUAUUUGACAAUACAUGAUAAUUUCAUGACAUUCAUUUCAUUCAAAUAAACAUAACAUUAACAUUGUGUUCAGGUUAGUAUUACACAACAUGAUUAUAAUUGAUCAUUUAGUUCAUUCUGCAGAUGCAGAUCGAACAUAUUGUGUACGAAAUAGGUACAACGCCUUGCAGUGACCACAGACGACAUCAUACUAAGAUAAGAGAAAAGUUCGCUGGAUAACAAUUGUGUUUUGGUUUGUUCAUCCAAGUGGAAAGCGGUGGACUACUACAACCACUACUCUAUCCGCGUGGCCGAGAACAGAGCACUUGUUUUGAGGAACGGUGACUGAAUUACCGCUGAAGCGUAUUUAAUGUAAACCAUGCUCGCCCCCUGCUGGAAGACAAGGAGAACUACAAUGACCGGGGCUCGCAUACAGGCUUGAGCCAAGAAAUCACGCAUCACUCACAUGGCUUAAGAGCCCAAAGGAAGAAUUGUAUUCGUUACGGUACAAAUCGACUGUGUAUCCUACGUUAUAUCCAAAGGAUACAAAGCAUUUAAUUGAAUAAAAUAUCUUCAUAUCCCACUUUUAACAUUACAAUAUUGAAAUGUUACUCAUGUUUCUUUGGGGUUAUUUUUUAACCAGUUUUUGACCACUUGACUGUAGCUGCUGGAGAAUUGUGAUCAACUGGACAACUGGAAUGUAUCAUUAAAUAAUGUUGUUUGAAAGGGUUGUUGUUUCCUUAUUUUUGUUGAUGACCGCUGGAAUCUGUCGACUCGUAUCCUGAUCCUCAGGUCAGCUGACAGAAAGCAGGUGUGCGAGUCCUGCAGGUGUUAAUCAGGUUCAUAAGCCCCAAGGCUCAUAUCGGUGUCUCUGAGGUGAGUACAGGGGGGUCACCGUCCAACACGCCAGCUCUCAAACAGGUUGGUGCUUUCAUACUAGGGUUCUCUCUCUCUCUCUCUCUCUCUCUCUCUCUCUCUCUCUCUCUCUCUCUCUCUCUCUCUCUCUCUCUCUCGCCUGUUCCUUUGAAAUUGGGGGUACUUUGUUCAGUAAAAUGUAGAUGUUAAGUCUAUGUUUUCUUUAGACCUAUAAACACCCAUCCCACAAGAACAGCAAUCUUUACUUACAUCCUAGUAAUUGAAAAACAACCUACUCAUUCACUCAAAACAAAUAUAAAUGACAAUGAAGGAAAGUCUAAUGCAAAAUGUUUGCUUUA